GGUCGCCGCGGCGGCAGGAACUCUCAAUGAAGACGAACGCCUCAGGAGCGAGGAUGCGGAACGAAUGCGGCAGAUACGUCUACGAAAAGCAAUGAUGGCGCCUGAUACUCAAUUGAAGUA